rnacentral:rRNA from 1 species
UCGAGGAUCUUUCGCAAUGGGCGCAAGCCUGACGGAGCGACGCCGUGUGAGUGAUGAAGGCCUUCGGGUUGUAAAGCUCUUUCGCCUGGGAACAAGAGAAGGCUGUAAAUAGCGGUCUGAUUUGAGUGUACCAGGUAAAGAAGCACCGGCUAACUACGUGCCAGCAGCCGCGGUAAUACGUAGGGUGCGAGCGUUAAUCGGAAUUACUGGGCGUAAAGCGUGCGCAGGCGGUUUUGUAAGACAGAUGUGAAAUCCCCGGGCUUAACCUGGGAACUGCAUUUGUGACUGCAAGGCUAGAGUACGGCAGAGGGGGGUAGAAUUCCACGUGUAGCAGUGAAAUGCGUAGAUAUGUGGAGGAAUACCGAUGGCGAAGGCAGCCCCCUGGGUCGAUACUGACGCUCAUGCACGAAAGCGUGGGGAGCAAACAGG